UUGCCUCCUCUAGCUUGCUCA
rnacentral:misc_RNA from 1 species